rnacentral:rRNA from 1 species
GACGAACGCUGGCGGCGUGCUUAACACAUGCAAGUCGAACGGAAAGGCCCUGCUUUUGUGGGGUGCUCGAGUGGCGAACGGGUGAGUAACACGUGAGUAACCUGCCCUUGACUUUGGGAUAACUUCAGGAAACUGGGGCUAAUACCGGAUAGGAGCUCCUGCUGCAUGGUGGGGGUUGGAAAGUUUCGGCGGUUGGGGAUGGACUCGCGGCUUAUCAGCUUGUUGGUGGGGUAGUGGCUUACCAAGGCUUUGGCGGGUAGCCGGCCUGAGAGGGUGACCGGCCACAUUGGGACUGAGAUACGGCCCAGACUCCUACGGGAGGCAGCAGUGGGGAAUAUUGUACAAUGGGCGGAAGCCUGAUGCAGCAACGCCGCGUGCGGGAUGACGGCCUUCGGGUUGUAAACCGCUUUCGCCUGUGACGAAGCGUGAGUGACGGUAAUGGGUAAAGAAGCACCGGCUAACUACGU